rnacentral:rRNA from 1 species
CCUACGGGCGGCUGCAGUAGGGAAUCUUCCACAAUGGGCGAAAGCCUGAUGGAGCAACGCCGCGUGGGUGAAGAAGGUCCUCGGAGCGUAAAACCCUGUUGUUAGAGAAGAAAAAGCGUGAGAGGAACUGUUCACGUUUCGACGGUAUCUAAACAGAAAGCUACGUCUAACUCAGUGCCCGCAGCCGCGGUAAUACGUAGGUUGGAAGCGUUAUCCGGAUUUAUUGAGCGUAAAGGGAACGCAGGCUGUCUUUUCAGUCUGAUGUGAAAGCCUUCGGCUGAACCGGAGUAGUGCAUUGGAAACUGGGAGACUUGAGUGCAGAAGAGGUGAGCGGAA